rnacentral:tRNA from 2 species
GCGAAAAUAGCUCAAUGGUAGAGCGCUGCCUUGCCAAGGCAGAGGCUGAGGGUUCGAGUCCCUUUUUUCGCU